GGGGUUGUGGCUCAGUGGUAGAGUGCUUGCCUAGCAUGUAUGAGGCACUGGGUUCAAUUCUCAGCACCA
rfam:Ictidomys tridecemlineatus contig066072, whole genome shotgun sequence.